rnacentral:rRNA from 1 species
UACGAAGGGUGCAAGCGUUACUCGGAAUUACUGGGCGUAAAGCGUGCGUAGGUGGUUUGUUAAGUCUGUUGUGAAAGCCCCGGGCUCAACCUGGGAAUGGCAAUGGAUACUGGCAGGCUAGAGUGCGGUAGAGGGUAGUGGAAUUCCCGGUGUAGCGGUGAAAUGCGUAGAGAUCGGGAGGAACACCAGUGGCGAAGGCAGCCCCCUGGGUUAACACUGACGCUCAGGCACGAAAGCGUGGGGAGCAAACGAGG